GAACAAAAAUGCAAGAAAAAGGAACUUCUGUCCUCCAAGCCACGUCGUGGUAAAGAUGCAGCAUACCUCUCAGAAAUUUAAGUUAAUAGAAACAAGCACUACAUGCUAAUGUACAUGGAAUGUGUGACUAACAGAGAAAAAGUGAUACUGUGAGGAUGUAAAAAGUGAGCUAACUCGAAAAGUCCUCAAGAAGUAGUGUUAAUGAGUGCUUCAAGUUGGAAACAAUUUUCAACUGGAGAAAUGUGCCCAGUCUGUUGGUGAAGAGAAAGCACAGGAGAGGUCAGAUUAUUUAAUAUAGAAUAAAGUAAGCAUCAGCUACCUACCCUCUAAAAGAUGAACCUACUUGAGAGAGGAGAGAACAUCAAAGGCUGUAAUAUGCUGAGCUUUCUAAGAAAACUGCUUUGAAGGGAACAGGUUUUGCUUGGAUGGGGACUGGGAGUUGGAGAGGGGAGACUGGAGAGAGUAGGAAGGGAAACUGGAAAUGAAAAGAAAAACACUGAGCCCCACAGUUUCAAGUCGGAGACAAAUUAUCUCAAGAAGAAAGAGACAUUAUACAAAUGCAAGCUGUUGUCACAACAAUGAUAAGAAAUCAGGAGUCGAAAGAUGUGGAGUAAGGGGGAAUUUCAGAGAAACCACAAAACACAAAAUAGGAAACAGAGACAGGAGAAGAUUGCUAUGACAAAAUUGCAGAAGGUGAAAUCUUUGGCAGCCUCUUAUUUCUCUGGAGAAUAUGAUAUUGUCAGGCUGAGGUGGAAGAAUCACAUGGUCAUACUGUUGAAGAGGUCUUGAAACAUUGGGCUUUCCUCUACAAGCGGAAGGAUAGCACUGGCAGCCAUCCACUGGCCCAGCAAUAUCCUGGAUUGAGACGAUAUCAUUUGCAUUACUUGCUGAAUGAAACAUAGUGAAAAUGACUGCAGAUAACCUCAACUAAGUCCAAGAUAUCAUUUUCAAAUCUGGACCAGCCCUUGCCAUCUAGACUGAACAGAGAUUCCAGUUUCCAGGAGAGUAGAUGGAGUAAUGAUAAAAGCACCUCCCAAAACUUUUGCCUUGGUACUACAGAGUGGCACAUAACUAAACAUUAUCAAGGAAUUUUACAGCCCUAGGCCUUCUAUUACUGUGUAUUACAGUCUGCUGUAAUCAUUCUAAUGGUCUAAGAUGUUGCAAGUAAUUUACUCACGGCCUGAACACCAGAAGUGCCAAAAUUGCCUGGGAGUUUUAUUCUGCAUCCAACCAGUACCAGGAAGGAGGAUGUAUUACUUCUCGUUUCUCUACAAGUGUCAGUGCAAAUCCAGCCAUCAAACAAAACUUAGACCUAAAAGCUUUUAGAUUACAGCGAUUAUUGCAGAUUUUACAUGAGAUAAAAAUGUAAUUGCUC
rnacentral:lncRNA from 1 species